rnacentral:rRNA from 1 species
AAUAGUUCCCGGACCUUGCACACACCGCCCGUCAAGCCAUGGGAGCCGGGUGUACCUAAAGUCGGUAACCGCAAGGAGCUGCCUAGGGUAAAAUCGGUGACUGGGGCU